GUCAUUCAUUCACUAAGAAAUUGCUAAUUGCCACCCUCCCCGUUUUCACUGGAUACAAACCUCUUGAAGUUCUCGCAAGCGCUGCUACCUCCAUGCCCAAAUCGACUUCGCCUUCUGAAUAGACUUUCUAGAAUCGACGAGAUUGAGAUCUGCUCUCUUUUCUCUUUUUGUUAUCUCUGGCCCCAACUCUGGUAAGCAACAAAACCCUUUUAUUUCUAAUUAUAUGAAUUGUAUCAUUUUUUAUAAUAUUUUUUUUAUUGAUUUGGAGUCUGAGUUUUUCCUUUUAUGUAUUUUACAAUUUUGAUUAGAAGUGUGAAGGGUAUAUUUUCAUAUUGAAUGUAGUUAUGGAAUAUGGUCAUGAUUAAUAAUGGUUCUUUUUUAAAGAAAUAAAAACUUUCAACGGAAAAAACAAUUGAACAUUUAAAUUACAAACUUUAGUUCAUCUAUUCUGAAAUUGCAGUACCAUGACUAAUUUUCUAUUCAUGGUGUUAGAACAGCGACUACUAUAUCAUUAAGUUUUACAUUAGACGAGUUUUACAAAUUUCGAGAGCAAAAUUUAAUUUAGGAUGUGAGUCUAAAGAUGAAGGAGCUUGAUGAUGGGUGGGGUGACCACACCAACUUGUUGAGGUAUAUUCAUUAUUAGAGCAAUUGGAUUUAUUAUACUUCAAAGUUACAAACCGACUUCACCACUUGUCCAUAGCUAUGAGUACAUAAUUUUUGUGCUUAACAAACCGAAUUCUUAUUUAUUUGAAGAAUAUUGUGUAUAAACUCCAUUCUUUCUGAUUAUUAUCAAAUUUUAAUUUAUGUAUUUCAUUACUUAAUUUAAAAAAUCUUGUGUAUAAUUUCAACUCUUGUUGGUUGAUGUACAAUAAAGUACUUUACCUGAAUUGAGAUCUUUAAUUGUGUGUCUUUAUAUAUAACAAAAUAAUUAAUCAGUUUUUGGUUACAGCUGAAUAGUAGAUAGUUUUGAAAAACAUAUUUUACUCUAAGGCAACGUUUAUAAUUGUUGCUGUUUCUGGAGACAGUUAAGAAGUGUUUCCUCGUGGUCCAAGAAAAACGUCCCCUAUUCAAAUAUUAUAGACGACGUUUAUGAAUAGUCUGCUCAAAAACAUGCACAAAAAUAAUUAAUUCAUUAAAAAUAUCAAAAUUAAUUCAAAUAAUAAUUUAAAUUCAGAAAAUGAGGAAAAUAUUUAAAAAUUUAUUUUUUGGAUUAAAAAUAAAAUAUUAUGAAUAAAAUAAAAUAAGCUAAUUAAAAUAUAAAAUCAGAAAUUAAAUUAAAUGAGAAAAAAUAAGGGCCAUCAGAUCUCCCUCAUUAAUUGAGGUGACAGAUCUGAUGGACACGCGUGUGCAGUCCAUCAAAGACCAAGUCAAACGCGUUGCAGGAGUGGUAAUCAAAACCAAAGGAUGAGAUUAAAACAUUGAGAGAUGAUCUGAUGGAUAUGACCUUGCCAUCACACCACCGGAGCUAGGGCUCCGGUCAUCUUCUCCGGUGGACCUCAUCGGACUGGUCCAUCCUCAACCAACACCAAAAUGAAAAACAAAUACAUGGAUUUAAAGAAAAAAUACUCAGAAGCUCGAAUAUGACCUCAAUUUUUCUCCAAUUCCAAGUAUAUAAAAAGAUACAAGAAUUUGAAUUUUGAGGAUCAUGAACUGAGUUGCUUCGAUUAGACCUCAAAGCAAUUCAAUCUUGUUGCCUACAUUGGUAGGACUUCAGCCAACCAAAAAUCACAAAGAAUGAUGUAGAAUUGAGAGAGAAUCAUAGAGAUGAAGUUUCUGGAAAAAUCACCUUCGAGUUGAUUCAAAUUCACUUGAUCUUGAUCUGUAUUUGUUUGCUUUCUCUUCCUCUUACUUGCAGAAAUCAAUUGAGAUGAAAAGGGAAGUGAAUUUCUGGAGUUUGAAAUUCUAAAUAGAAGAUGAAGUUCAAGCUCGAUUUCAAAAGAAAUCUUUAUAAAUUAUAUGGAAAUGAGGGUUUGGAUUGGUUUGGCAAAGCUUGGGCAAGGUUUGAUGAAGUUUUGAUCACAUUGCUUCUUUAUUUAUAGCCAAUGCAUAUGCUUUUCACACACUUUCUUUCACAUGUCCAAAAUUAGCAACUUCCUUCAUGAGCUUGCAUGGGCGUGUACAAAGCCCAACGAAUGAUUGGCAAAGGUCCAAAAGUUUGCACAUGUCAUGCUGAAGGUGUUGCAUUAAGCCAUGCAUUGUUGAAUUGAAUUGGAUCAUGAGAUUCUUCCAAAUGGUACCACACAUUACACCCAUGCGCAAGUCCUUCAUUCUUUGGCCAAAUGAGAUGAUCAUGGAUUUUUUUGGAAAGGUGAGAUCAAGGGGAACACCUUUCAUGUUUGAAAAUUUUUCAAGUCCCAAGUCAAAUGUUCACUUCUUCCACCUUGAAUAACUUUUUCUAUGGACUUCAAAUGAAAAACGUUCCUUCAUCAAAGUUGUAUCUCUUUCAAACCUCUUCAAUUUGGUCACAAAUUUGACCUCAUUUGGAUUAGGAAUAAAGGAGUUGUGCAAUUUAGAAGUUAAGGAAAAUCACUUGUUCAAUGGUAGUGGCCCAAAAUGACCUAUAAUGUUUCCUCUUGGCACAUGAAUUUGCAAGUUUAAUUUGAACUUAUUACAAACAUAAAA